UACGAAGGGUGCAAGCGUUAAUCGGAAUUACUGGGCGUAAAGCGUGCGUAGGCGGUGACUUAAGUCUGUUGUGAAAUCCCCGGGCUCAACCUGGGAAUGGCAAUGGAUACUGGGUCGCUAGAGUGUGAUAGAGGAUGGUGGAAUUCCCGGUGUAGCGGUGAAAUGCGUAGAGAUCGGGAGGAACAUCAGUGGCGAAGGCGGCUUCCUGGCCUGCAACUGACGCUGAGACGCGAAAGCGUGGGGAGCGAACCGG
rnacentral:rRNA from 1 species